CUCCAUCUCUCCAUUAUUUGUAAAUAUUGAAACCAUGAUUGUAAAAUAUUUUCUUGCCUUAACAAAUCAAAAAACUUUAAUUGCCAAUCUGUACCUGACCAAAUAUCUGGCUGAGAUAUUAACAGUCUAAUAAGCUCUCCAUGCCCCAUUCUCAAGUUCUUCAAGGGCCGGAGAACGAGAUCCAGACUGGGUGGGGAUGGUUUAGCAGGCCUUAAAAAAAAAUCCUUGGCAAUGUCCUGUCGUGCCAACAAUGACUUGUCGGCUUGGAUGUUGCAACACCAGGGUGGAGUGAUCUGAAGAGAAAUCAUGAGUCACGAUCCUUGUAGGCCAGAAGGUAGCUUAGCUGGUGACGUCUGGAGAUGUAGAUUGCGGCACUUCCCAUGCCGAAUUCUUUCCGGGUGACCAGCCCAGGGAUCAGGCAGGUCCAUAAAUGCGUGAAGAGAACCGAGAAGGCACUCACAACUGCGAUCCAGGAGAGUUGUGGGUUUCAUCCAGGAUUAGGACAAACCAUGAAGGCUUCUUGGCUCGUCUUGGUGGUGUUGGCCAGCCUCUCGCUUCUCCUGACAGUCCGCUCUGAAGAUGCCCCGCCGGUCUCUGGAGCACCUGAGGUGGUGACGUCCCAUUCUGGACAUCUGCCCAUUGAAGCGUCCAGAUUGUCCAAAGCUUGGUGGAAGAAAUUUAUCCAGGAAAGCCAGAGCCAGAAGAAGACCCCACCCCCCGGACCUGGAUCCUACGGCCCCUUAGGCGAUAUCAAUCACUAAUGAUGGAUCUGCCAGGGAUAUUCCCACAAUGCCUUAUGAUCCGGUCCUCCCAUCCCAGGGACGCACUUGGUCUUCCUUGCCUUCCGCCUCCGAUCGGCCUGGGGCUUUUGCAAGUGCAAAAAGAUUCCUAACGUGUAGGUGUCUCCCAUGACCUGAACUCUGUGUCUGUGUGUGUGUGUGUGUGUGUGUGUGUGUGUGUUACGAAGGACCAAUCCAAUCGCUCUUUCUUCUCACACCAGCUGGAUCCCACGAUGGACGCUUCGCGGACCCUUCCUUCUCCUCUGUUAUUAAUUUCAGCAUCUUGGUUCGUGUUUUCCAACAGCCGUCAGAUUCCAUUUCUCUCUGAUCUGGGAUACAACCCUUCGUUUAGUGACCUUUCUGAGUUAGAACGGCGCUGAAAAAAAGUGAACUUAAGGACCGAUCCUCGCAUUUACGACCGGUGCAGCAUCCUCAACAAGACACGUGAUCAAAAUUUGGGUGCCCGGCAACUGUUAAAUGUUUUCAACGGUUGCAGCGUCUCAAGGGAUCCAUUUUGCAGCCUUCCCAGCUGGUUCCUGGGAAUGAAAAAAAUCAAUGGGGGAAGCCAGACUUGUUUAACGGCCACGUGAUUCACACAACGACUGCAAUGAUUCCCUUAAGAACUGUGGCAAAACGGGUUCUGAAAUUGGGUGCGACUCACUUAAACCUUGCUUAAAGCUGGCUGUAAAUCGAGGACUUCCUGUAUGUGAGCGAGCCCAACUCAGUGGAGGAAGCCAGUUUUGCUUAACGACCACAUUCACUUAACAACUGCAGGGAUUCGCUUAACAACCGAAAGGCUGGCCUCAGUUGUGGAUGUGAGUGAACCCAAAGCGAAACAUGUGAAUGGGACAGAAAGAGCCACUUUUCUUAGUGCCAAACAGUCACUAAGUGAACAGUCGUAAGUCAAGGACUACCUGUGUCCAGAAAGGGAUCUUAUUAGAUCAAUUUCUCAAACAUGGCCGCUGUGAGGUGUGGGGACUUCAGCUACAGAUGGACCUUCUCUCAAUGUGAUAUUUAAAUAAAUAAAAUUUAUGAAAGUUAUAUAUGUUCCAUAUUACACUCUCA